UAACAAGGAUUCCCCUAGUAACUGCGAGUGAAGCGGGAAAAGCUCAAAUUUAAAAUCUGGCAGCCUCUGGCUGUCCGAGUUGUAAUCUAGAGAAGUAAUGCCCGUGCUGGACCGUGUAUAAGUCUCCUGGGAUGGGGCGUCAUAGAGGGUGAGAAUCCCGUCUUUGACACGGACUACCAGUGCAUUGUGGUAUGCUCUCAAAGAGUCGAGUUGUUUGGGAAUGCAGCUCAAAAUGGGUGGUAAAUUCCAUCUAAAGCUAAAUAUUGGCGAGAGACCGAUAGCGAACAAGUACCGUGAGGGAAAGAUGAAAAGAACUUUGGAAAGAGAGUUAAACAGUACGUGAAAUUGCUGAAAGGGAAACGCUUGAAGUCAGUCGCGUUGGCUGGGGAUCAGCCUUGCUUUUUGCAUGGUGUACUUUCUGGUUGACGGGUCAGCAUCAAUUUUGACCACUGGAAAAGGCUCAAGGGAAUGUGGCAGCUUCGGCUGUGUUAUAGCCCCUGUUCACAUACAGUGGUUGGGAUUGAGGAACUCAGCACGCYGCAAGGCCGGGUUUCGACCACGUUCGUGCUUAGGAUGCUGGCAUAAUGGCUUUAAGCGACCCGUCUUGAAACACGGACCAAGGAGUCUAACAUGCCUGCAAGUAUUUGGGUGGAAAACCCAAGUGCGCAAUGAAAGUGAAAGUUGAGAUCCCUGUCGUGGGGAGCAUCGACGCCYGGACCAGAACUUUUGGGACGGAUCCGCGGUGGAGCAUGUAUGUUGGGACCCGAAAGAUGGUGAACUAUGCCUGAAUAGGGUGAAGCCAGAGGAAACUCUGGUGGAGGCUCGUAGCGAUUCUGACGUGCAAAUCGAUCGUCAAAUUUGGGUAUAGG
rnacentral:rRNA from 1 species